UACGAAGGGUGCAAGCGUUAAUCGGAAUUACUGGGCGUAAAGGGUGCGUAGGCGGUUCGUUAAGUCUGUUGUGAAAUCCCCGGGCUCAACCUGGGAAUGGCAAUGGAUACUGGCGAGCUAGAGUGUGUCAGAGGAUGGUGGAAUUCCCGGUGUAGCGGUGAAAUGCGUAGAGAUCGGGAGGAACAUCAGUGGCGAAGGCGGCGAUCUGGGACAACACUGACGCUGAAGCACGAAAGCGUGGGGAGCAAACAGG
rnacentral:rRNA from 1 species